AGGAGCUCUUCUGUCCUGCGUUUCUUUGCAGCUGAACCUGCUGGUGAAGGUGGUGCAGCUUCCCAAGCCAUGUCCAGGACGGAGCCUCUGGGAGAUGCUGAGGAAGUGAUGGACCAAAAAUCUGUGCAGAAGGAGGCACAUCCUGGAGGAAGCAUUUCCCCAUGGACAGCCCCUGUUGCUGGAAGGAAAGUGAUGCCAGACACGGGCACGGGCACAGCAGAUGCAGCCGGCACCACAACACGUGUUCCCGAUGCCCAGAAGGGCCUCGGAAGGGGCUUCUGUAUGGGAACAGGCUGCUGGACAGGGUUACUGGCAGGCCUGCUUUGUUUGGACCUUAUUCUCAUAUUGUGCUGUGUCAGAAUCUGGUGUUACUGGAAGAAGAAACGGAGCACCUCUGGAACUUCACCAGACCGGCCAAAGGCCUCAGUCAUGGAGAACUGGGCCUGUCAUGCUGCAUCUCCGUGCCAGUGUCUGUUGUCCCUUCCACAAGUGCAUUACCAGCUUAUAGCUGGAAAUAUGCCGCCACCACCACCCACCUCCCUCUCCAAAGGGACUGACCUUGCUCUCCAUCCAGGACAGGAGGUGCAGCCCUCUAGCCUAGGAAUGGAUUGUUGAAAAAGUUAUAUUUACUUGUAAAAAUUUUAAAUGUUUAUUAAAACCUUUAUUAAAAGUAUAACAAGAGACUGAAUUGGGAAAAUGUUAUGGCUCCAGGUAUAGAGGAUUUUCCCACCACGUGCUCAUCCACACAAUGGAGGUUUCACCUUUUAACUCUUUUGCCCUUCUUAAAGUUCUGUCCAUCAACUCCUUCUUUGAUGUCCAGUGGUGGAGUUUACUUCCGUACAUCUCGCUUGGAGGUCAGGUGCUGCUCUCGUAGCAAGGUGACCCUCUUAAAUGUCCCAAACUCGGGUAACCCCAUGAUAAAAACACAAGAGGGGGUAAAACAUAUCUGUAAGUGUAUAAUUCUUCUCUUAACAUGUAUACAUGAUAUUUAUCCUUUAAUUGUGAGAGUCAACUGUCACAUUACUCAUCUAUCACAGGCUUGAG